GGAGUCUGGGCCGUGUCUCAGUCCCAAUGUGGCCGAUCACCCUCUCAGGUCGGCUACUGAUCGUUGACUUGGUGAGCCGUUACCCCACCAACUAUCUAAUCAGACGCGAGCCCACCUCACACCGGAUUGCUCCUUUCACCUCAAAGCCAUGCGACUUCGUGGUCCUAUGCGGUAUUAGCACAUCUUUCGAUGCGUUAUCCCCCUGUAUGAGACAGGUUGCUCACGCGUUACUCACCCGUCCGCCACUCGGUUAUAUUCGAGCAAGCUCUCCUAUAACCUCGUUCGACUUGCAUGUGUUAAGCACGCCGCCAGCGUUCGUC
rnacentral:rRNA from 1 species